rnacentral:tRNA from 1 species
GGGCCUCUAGCUCAAUGGGCAGAGCAGCGGACUUUUAAUCCGUAGGUUGUGGGUUCGAGUCCCACGGGGCCCACCG